rnacentral:lncRNA from 1 species
AAUCCGACCAGGAACCAUGAGGUUUCGAUCCCUGGCCUUGCUCAAUGGGUUAGGGAUGCGGCGUUGCCGUGAGCUGUGGUGUAGGUCGCAGGCGCAGCUCGGAUCCCGUUGCUGUGGCUCUGGUGUAGGCUGGCAGCUACAGCUCCGAUUAGACCCCUAGCCUGGGAACCUCCAUAUGCCGAGGGAGUGGCCCAAGAAAUAGCAAAAAGACAAAACAAAACAAAAAAAAGUGCUUGUUAUUUAUAAAUCAUAUGGACUCAAAUGGCUAUUUUGAACUAACAUAAAAUGUAUGUUGAUUAAAAUGUAUUACUCAGUUAACUCACUUUACUAGGCAUCCAUCUCUUACUUGAUGGAAAUUAAGUUAUUAAACAACCUUAUAAGUAAAUGUUUACCUUCAUAUACUUUAUAGAUUUUUUCAGCUAUUAGGCAAAUAUAUAUGAAAAGAAGAAAUAUACGAAACAAAUGUUUGCCUAAUUAUGUAAUGUGGCAAAAUUUUAACCUAUUUUAGGGGUACCAUUUAUUUAAAAUCUAUUAAUUACACAUGAACAAUGGCCUGGCUCUUCAUUAAAUUACUUAAUUGCUAAUACAUUUUAGCUCAAAAUUUAUAGAUAUGUGUAGUGUAUUUGAAACAUGUUUGAUUCAAACAAAAAUAUAUGUCUGGAAAUUCAUUGAUGAAUGUCAGGUUUUUUUCAGAUGAUUGCAUGAAUAUGCUACUAGUUCAAUGUUUUUAAUGUCAACCAAUAUAAAACACAUGAUCCAGAUUUUUUUUUUCCCCCUCUAUGCCAUGGCCUCACUAACACUUGAUUUUGAUUCUACCAUCAAGGCAAAUGUUGCUAAUCCCUCGUGGCAUUUUUUUCCUGAGUGACUCUGAAUAUGGCCACAGAAUCAGAUCUUUCUGGACACUAUAUACUAGGUAACACGUGAUAUUUGAUCUAUAAGAUAAAAACUUUAUUUUUUACUCAUAGUAUAUGUAAUAUCAUCACUAUACAUUUUUCAGCUGAUUUUUUUUUUUCUUUUUGUAGGGCUGCACCUGUGGCUUGUGGAAGUUCCCAGGCUAGGGGUCAAAUCAGAGCUCCAGCUGCCAUCCUACACCAUAGCCACAGCAACACUGGAUCCGAGCAGCAUCUGCAACCUUGCAGCUUGUGGCAACGCUGUAUCCUUAACCCACUGAGUGAGGCCAGGGCUCGGACCUUCAUCCUCAUGGACACUGGUUGGGUUCUUAACCUGCUGAUCCACAAGGGGAACUUAACAGCUGAUUUUUGUUAGUGAUAAAAUAUCUUCAUUGUUACUUAAAUCCCCUGAUUAAUAUUAAAUGUUAUCAUGUGAAAAGGAUAUUUAAUUAGAAGAGGUUUUUAACGGUGAUGAUAAAAUCUCCAAGAAUACAAUUUCAUUAUACCUCAUGCACAUCUACAGUAUAUGUGAGUUUUACUCAAAUAUCUUAACAUAAAGCAUUUAAGUGUCAUAUGUCUAGUUUAAAGUAGAUGCUGGUGUUUACCAUGCUUUUUGGCUUAUUGGAAUUAAGAAGAACCAUUUUAUUAUGUCAGUUGACAAAGAUAAUACUUUGUCAAAGAUAUCAAUGUGUCCUAAUUGGGUAUUUACACUGCUUUUGCUACUAACAAGUCAACAAUAAACACAUCCUUCAGAUAUUUACAUACUGAUCUGUCUAUUUUUGUGGAAUUUAUGUCAAAGACUGGGAUGCUUGAUCAAGAAGUAUGUAUCUUUUCUUUAAUCAUUGAUUCCUGGAGUUCCAUAAAUUUAUAACUUAACAUUUUCGGCCCCAAUCAGUUUGUGUCCUUUUUCAGAACUUCAGGGAUCAACACACAUUAUUUUGCUUUCUUUUUUUUUUUUUUGCAAUUUAUAUGAAUACCAGUAUUUGUUGAGUGAUGACUUCAGGUCAGGCACCACUCUUUAGAUGUAUUAACUCAGUCCUUACAGAAGUGCUCCAGUUUCCAGAAAAGGAAACUGAGGCAGGCAGAAAAAUUAAGUACCUCAUCCAGGCCACCAGUAGAUCUGUCCCUGUAGCUUGUGUUCUUAACUGUGCUGUCAUGGCUGAGUCAAAUAGUGUUCCCUUGAUUUCCAGUUCUCUAAUGCUGAGUUUCAGCCUGAGCCUAAGCAGUGUUUUAAAGGUUAAGUACCUGUUCAUGUAGUUAUAGGGGAAAGAAACCCCUCAUCAUAAUGUUUCUAAUUCAAUGAUAGCAUUAAAUAAUAGUACAUAUAAUAUUAUUUAUGAUCUUCCUUGUGAUAAGAAAGUGAUUUACAACAUAGUUUUAUCUUUUGGGUACUAUUAACAUACAUCUUAAAAGCAUGGGGUGGAAAUAUUUAUUUAAAGCUGUGUAAAAUAUUUGUUCAAGUACUUUGUCAGCUACGAAUAAAAGCUGUGUUAAACUGGUUCUCAGGACAUUUUGCAGUCUUUAUUGAGAACUUUAAAUAUCAUUGUUACUACUGAAGGUUAAAAGAUAAUACUUGUGUAAUCUAUACCCAUUGUUUUGAGUAUCAGUCUCAUGUAAUGUUGAGAGUUUUGUCUAGAGGAAGACUUCUUUGACUUUAAUGACAGUGGGAAAAUGUGUGUCUCAGAAAUCUUUGUCUGUUCUACUGCUUAAGUAUUUCUCUUAUCUAUUCCCUGCUUUCCAUUCCCAUCACCACAGUUCUGGUUAAGAUUUUCAGCAUUUCCUUCCAGGCAUUAAUUUAGUAACCUCCUCGUAUUCCUCCUUGUUCUUAAUCUAUAGUUUAUCACUUAUAUCUAUGCCAGAAAUACUUAAAUUUUUUUUUUUUGUCUUUUGUCUUUAUAAGGCUGCACCUGCAGCAUAUGGAGGUUCCCAGGCUAGGGGUCUAAUCAGGGCUGUUGCUGCCAGCCUACACCAGAGCCACAGCAAUGCAAGAUCCGAGCCACGUCUGCGACCUACACCACAGGUCAUGGCAGCACUGGAUCCUUAACCCACUGAGUGAGGCCAGGGAUUGAACCUGAAACCUCAUGGUUCCUAGUCAAAUUCAUUUCCCCUAUGCCACAAUGGGAACUCCAGAAAUACUUUUCUAAAAUUGAGAUCUUGUUGUAGUGUUCCACUUCUCCUGUUCUUGUCUGUCUCUUUGAUGCAAUUUCCCCUUAACUGAAAUUCUUGUAAUUCUCCAAUAUAGCAUCCUGUUUCCAAUCACAUUUCUUGCAUGCCUUCUUCUUCUCCCCGUCCUUCUUCAGCUGCUGCCCUAUGCCGCAGCCACAGCAAUACCAGGUCCCAGCUGCAUCUGUGAUCUACACUGCAGCUCUUGGCUGCAGAUUCUUAACCCACUGAGUGGGGCUGAGGACUGAACCCAUGUCCUCGUGGAUACUAGUUGGGUUUGUUCCUCUGAGCCACAGCAGGAACUCCUUGUAUGCCUUCUUCUAUUCUCUCUGGAAUGUCCUUUCCUAUUUUAUCUAUGCUGAUUUAGGAAAAAAGAAACAAACAAACAAAAAACCCACAAAACAGUAACAAAAAAAACCCCCUAAUAUGUAGUCCAAAGAGCAGAACUUUGGAGAUUGGAGGUAACAUCACCUCUCUGUGGUGAUUUGGCAUAAUUGCAAGCAAAAUUCUAAACAGAUAAUGAGCAAUCUCCUUGUUAUUUGUACUUAAAAGAGAUAGAGUGAUGAAAAAUUAUGCAAUAAUAAGCAAUGUCUUUGCUAUUUGGACUUAGAAAGGCUAGAGUGGUGACAAAUAAUGCAAGUCAGCUUCAAUUAUUUGAUGUUAGAAUGAGAAAUUAUCCAAAUUCUUGACAAUAGAAGGAAGACAAGAAAUAUCAUUUUUAAAUGAUAAAACAGAUGCUUGUUUAUCAUUUUUUAUACAUGCAUAUUAAUCUUUCAAGGAAAAUUAUGAAAUGUUGCUGUGAAAUCUCGAUAACUUCUUCAGCCCUUUUCCUACAUGGCUCUAUUGUGUAGCACUUUCAUUAAGCCAUAUAGUUGAUCAGACUUAUUAAAAGCUAUGCAUGACCACCCUUUUCAAAACACGUUGUUUCAAAGAAAUAUCUGUAAUCUGCAUGCAUAUUGAAGACAGAUGUCAACAAGAUAAUUAUUGUGCCUAACAGGUACUUUAAAUAGAAUGCUUAAGUUGUCAAAAAGUCUUGUAAAUGAUAAAGGUUGUUGUAGAGAAACUGGAUAAUUAUAUAUAUUUAGUGUAUAAUAAUACACCAUAUUAGUUGAUAUUGUCAAAGUUGCUAUAGAAUUUCAUUGAAUUUCAUUUUGAUUUUUAAUGUAACAAAAAUACCCUUUCAUGUGUACAAAAAAGCACUUCUAUGUGUUUAUGUUUUUAAUUAACUCUUUUCAUCCAUACAUUUGAAACUUUGUAAAUGCUGCACCUCAGCCUUAAAAUGUCCUUCAGCUUUGCCUCUUCAAAGUCUGCCAUCCAGCAAAGCCUCUUUCAAAAUUUAUAUCCUUUACAGUGAUUCCCCCAGCACUGCCUACUGAUAAUACAAGUUACUCCCUUUUCUCUUAGCCUACAGUUUGCAUAGACAUAGCCUAUGUUUUUUACUUAGAUUAAUAGAUAAAAGGGUGUGAUUGUAUCAGAAGAACUAGAUUUCAGUAAACUUAUUUUACUAUAUGAGGCAUUGUCCAAUUUGCAUUGAAUUAUCAUGUAAUUAGUCAAUUACCUUUCUUUUGGGAUAGUCAAAGCAUAGAAUGCUCAAAAAAUUUAAAGCUCACCGAUUUCACUUUUAUAGAGUUUUUACUUUUAUCAAAUUAUCCCUUAUACUAACAGAAAUCUGCAUUUUCAUAAAUUUGUGCCAUUCAUUAUAGUUGGCCUUUAAAGUAAUAAAAGCUUAAUAUUUACCUCAUAUCCUACUGCCAUAAAGUAUUUGAGGACAAUAUCAUAAAGUCUGUUAAAUAUGCUUUUAAUAAUCACUAUUUUUCUAGAUAGCUAGUUAAUACAUCAAAGAUUAAUGUAUCUAUUAAAAGGAAACACUGUGAUAUAUAUUGACUUAUAUCCUACAAAUUACUUAUAAUAUUUAUAGGUACAGAAGCUGUGUUAAAUAAAUGUAAUGGAGGAGUUCCUGCUGUGGUGCAAUGGGAUUGACCAUGUCUUGGGACCACUGGGACGCAGGUUUGAUCCCCAGACUGGCACACUGUGUUAAGGAUUGGUGUUGGUACAUCUGUGGCUUAGGUCACAACUACAGUUCAAAUGAUCCCUGGCCCGGAACUCCUUAUGCUGCAAGGUGG